GACCUCAAAUCAGGUAAGAGUACCCGCUGAACUUAAGCAUAUCAAUAAGCGGAGGAAAAGAAAAUAACAAUGAUUCCCUUAGUAACGGCGAGUGAAGGGGGAUAAGCUCAAAUUUUAAAUCUGACUAGGUUUUACCUAUCAGAGUUGUAUUUUGAAGAAGCGUUUUCCGCGUCUCGGUUGGCCCAAGUCCUUUGGGAUAAGGUAUCAUGGAGGGUGAGAAUCCCGUUCGGUUGACCUUAUGACGCUUUACGAUACGCUCUCAAAGAGCCGAGUUGUUUGGGAUUGCAGCUCAAAAUGGGAGGUAAAUUUCUCCUAAGGCUAAAUAUCGGCGAGAGACCGAUAGCGAACAAGCACCGUGAGGGAAAGAUGAAAAGAACUUUGAAAAGAGAGUAAAAUAGUACGUGAAAUUGUUGAAAGGGAAACGAUUGAAG
rnacentral:rRNA from 1 species